rnacentral:rRNA from 1 species
GAUGCGUAGGGGUUCUGAGAGGAAGGUCCCCCACACUGGUACUGAGACACGGGCCAGACUCCUACGGGAGGCAGCAGUGAGGAAUAUUGGUCAAUGGGCGCGAGCCUGAACCAGCCAAGUCGCGUGAGGGAUGGCGGUCCUACGGAUUGUAAACCUCUUUUGCCGGGGAGCAAGCGUGCGUUCGUGAACGCGCGUCGAGAGUACCCGGAGAAAAAGCAUCGGCUAACUCCGUGCCAGCAGCCGCGGUAAUACGGAGGAUGCGAGCGUUAUCCGGAUUUAUUGGGUUUAAAGGGUGCGUAGGCGGGAUGCCAAGUCAGCGGUAAAAAUGCGGUGCUCAACGCCGUCGAGCCGUUGAAACUGGCGUUCUUGAGUGGGCGAGAAGUAUGCGGAAUGCGUGGUGUAGCGGUGAAAUGCAUAGAUAUCACGCAGAACUCCGAUUGCGAAGGCAGCAUACCGGCGCCCUACUGACGCUGAGGCACGAAAGCGUGGGUAUCGAACAGGAUUAGAUACCCUGGUAGUCCACGCAGUAAACGAUGAAUGCUAACUGUCCGGUGCGAGUGAGCGCUGG